CCAUUUGUUACAGGUGGUUUGUAUGGGCUAAUCCUCUCCAAUCCACGCGAAACCACGCGAACCCACGCGACUCGAAACCCUCGUCAAGCGACUCAGGGAAUCGCUCGUCCCAUCGCACGCCGCCAGCGAGAGGAAGAGACGCCGCCGCCGCCGCCACCGAGGGGAAGAGCCCCGCCUACGAGAGGAGGAGCCCCACGCCGCCGCCCGACUCUGCCCGACGCCCCGACGCCGCCCGACGCCCCGACGCCGCCCGACUCUGCCCGACGCCGGCGUUACUCCUCCAGCAUACUGGCCUUCUCCCCGGUGCCUGCCGCUUCGAUUAUUGUGGGGGUGGAUGAAUUACUUCCGUCUUGGGAUUCAGUUCUCACGCCUAACUUCGGGACCUGAUCUCGCGGAAGAUGGGUGACCACUUUGCUGCCACAAGUCUCCUUCACACCGUGUAGCCCGCAAACAUGUCUCGGAGCAUUUGUCGAUCAAAUUUAUGUUGUAAUGAAUCGUUGACUUUCGUUGAUCGAACAUCUUGUAUUUUUCAUUUGGACUGUGGCAUGUAUGCAUGUAACAUUUAAUGUGAACAGUUGAUAGUACAUGCAACAGAUUAUACGAGCCUUUUUGUUAUUUUGCGUAA